UACCUUUGCACCCGCAAUGGUUUAGCUACAACUUUUCAAGUGUAGUUAACGAAGAGGGAAUCAGGUGCAAAUCCUGAACAAGCCCGUUACUGUAAAAUUCCAUGCAACAUUUUGGCAGAUUUAAAGCUUUUAAGUUUUCUAAAUCUAAUCUUUUGCCACUGCAUUUUUAAUGUGGGAAGGCCGAUCAAAAUGGGAAUAAGUCAGGAGACCUGCCACUGCAAUUAACUUCAA
rnacentral:ncRNA from 1 species